GCAGUGGUAGUUUGGUGGUAGAAUUCUCACCAUCUAUUCAGGAGGCCUGGGUUCAAUUCCCAGCCAAUGCA
rnacentral:tRNA from 1 species